rnacentral:rRNA from 1 species
AACGAACGCUGGCGGCAUGCCUAAUACAUGCAAGUCGAACGAUCACUUCGGUGAUAGUGGCGCACGGGUGCGUAACGCGUGGAAUCUGCCCUUGGGUUCGGAAUAACAGCUGGAAACGGCUGCUAAUACCGGAUGAUGACGUAAGUCCAAAGAUUUAUCGCCCAGGGAUGAGCCCGCGUAGGAUUAGGUAGUUGGUGGGGUAAAGGCCUACCAAGCCUACGAUCCUUAGCUGGUCUGAGAGGAUGAGCAGCCACACUGGGACUGAGACACGGCCCAGACUCCUACGGGAGGCAGCAGUAGGGAAUAUUGGACAAGGGGGGCAACCCUGAUCCAGCAAUGCCGCGUGAGUGAUGAAGGCCUUAGGGUUGUAAAGCUCUUCUACCCGGGAUGAUAAUGACAGUACCGGGAGAAUAAGCCCCGGCUAACUCCGUGCCAGCCGCCGCCGUAA